GAAGGGUCAUGUGUUGGAAACUUAAUCCCCAACACAACAGUGUUGGGAGGUGGGGCCUAAGAGAGGUGUUGGGUCAUACAGAUAGAACCCUCAUGAGUGGAAUAAUGUUAUUAUCACAGAAGAGGGUGGGUUAUCCAGAGAGUAGGUUGUUAUAAGUGAGUCCAGACCCUGUUUUCUCUAUCUGAUAUUCUGGCUUCUGCCCUCGGCCCUUCCAGCAUGAGAUAACCCUAGCCAGGUUUUGGUGCUAUGCUCUUGGACUUCCCAGACUCCAUAUGAGAGAAAUGGUCUCCAUAGGUGAGAUAUAAAUUUAUUUUCCUUGUAAAUUAUCCAUUUUGUGGUGUUCUGUUACAGCAGCAGAAAACAAACCAAGAGAGAACACCAGUCUGAUUGCUUCCUACAUGGAAGGUGUGAUAUUUUUAAAAUGUAUUUUGAAAGCAAAUAGAAUCUUAGGACCCCAAACUCACUAUGCCAAAGGGAAAGUUAAGGUUGGGGGCUGAGUCACACAAUACUGCCUUUCUUUUCUUCCCAAGGAGACGUAAUUUCACUACUCUAUGUCUCACCCAUAGGCCAGGUUUCUACAAUCAUAGGGCCACAUGUUUCCCCAGAUGACCUCCCUCAAAAAUUGCUUACAAGGAAGUUCCUUGUGAGCAGUUAAGUCUUUCAGAAUACAUAGCUUUCCUAUAAACUAGCCUUAAAACUGAGUUCUGUUGAAUCUCACCUUGAAAGUGUCAAUUACCAGCU
rnacentral:lncRNA from 1 species